GUGAGGUAACGGCUCACCAAGGCAUCGACGGGUAGCUGGUCUGAGAGGACGAUCAGCCACACUGGGACUGAGACACGGCCCAGACUUCUACGGAAGGCAGCAGUAGGGAAUCUUGCGCAAUGGGCGAAAGCCUGACGCAGCAACGCCGCGUGGGGGAUGAAGGCCUUCGGGUUGUAAACCCCUUUCAGCAGGGACAAAAAUGACGGUACCUGCAGAAGAAGCCCCGGCCAACUACGUGCCAGCAGCCGCGGUAAUACGUAGGGGGCAAGCGUUGUCCGGAAUUAUUGGGCGUAAAGAGCUCGUAGGCGGUUCGGUAAGUCGGGUGUGAAAAUCCAGGGCUCAACCCUGGGACGCCACCCGAUACUGCUGUGACUAGAGUCCGGUAGAGGAGCGUGGAAUUCCUGGUGUAGCGGUGAAAUGCGCAGAUAUCAGGAGGAACACCAGCGGCGAAGGCGGCGCUCUGGGCCGGUACUGACGCUGAGGAGCGAAAGCAUGGGGAGCAAACAGGAUUAGAUACCCUGGUAGUCCAUGCCGUAAACGUUGGGCACUAGGUAUGGGGUCUUAUCAACGGAUUCCGUGCCGUAGCUAACGCAUUAAGUG
rnacentral:rRNA from 1 species